GCCAGUGUGGCAUAGUGGUUUGAGUGUUGGACUACAACUCUGGAGCCCAGGGUUAAAUUCCUGCUAGGCCA
rnacentral:tRNA from 1 species